GCUGGUGGAGAAAAUGUCUCCUGGUUUCCAUCCUUCGCUCUGUGCACCCACUCUACCACUCACGAGGGUGGCUCCCCGUGGGCAGAAAGCACCACGUAGACAUGGUCUCAGCACAUGGUCAUUUGGAUGUAUGGGGUUGGCUUGUUUACAGAGCUGCAGGGUGUAUUUUAGAGGAGCACUCUGUUGGCAAGCUUGGUGUGUGUCUUCCAGGAUCUUCUAGCUUGGUAACUCAGUUAGAAUUCCAGGAAAGUGAGCAGCUAAAACCUGAGGAUGUUUUCCUGGCAUAAUUCUUUCAGUCAAGCCACAAAUACUCUCUGCAGUAUACAUCCCACUCUCUGUCUUGUUUUUUAGGGUUUUUCUUUUCAGUACAGUUUUGAGCACCUGCCUUGUGCCUCAAUGAAUACUUGUUGGGUGAUGAAUGAUAUAAAAUUCAUCUUGACAUUCAGCUUAGGUUUGGAAGACAGUGUAUGAUUUCUUUACCAUGGCCUUGACUCAUCUUCUGAAUGGUCAGGCUAAGUGCUGCCUCCUUCUCUGUGUAGCCUAUUCAGGCACCUGCUCACCUACCACAACCUGCCAGGCCCCUCCUGCUCUGGAAGCAUGCUAUGUGAGAAAUAAUCCUAAUAUCCAAGUCACAGACAGUGGGUGGGCUUGGAAGUGCAGGGCCUGUGAUCCCUUUGUGGAGUAGCUGAAUUUAGAAGUGACAGCAAUUGUGUUCUAUAAUGAGAAUGGUCCUGAUCAUCAUGAGAAUAAUAGCUGCCUUUUAUUGAGAAACUGUCAGGUACCAGCUACUGUGCUGAGCAUUUUCUAUGCAUUUGCUCCCAUGUUCAGAUCCCUCCUCUGUCUUCGUGUGUGAUAUGGUUUGGCUGUGUCCCCACCCAAAUCUCAUCUUGAAUUGUAGCUCCCAUAAUUCACACGUGUUGUGGGAGGGACACAGUGGAAGAUAAUUGAAUCAUGGGAGCAGUUUCCCUCCCACUGUUCUCAUGAUAGUGAAUAAAUCUCACAAGAUCUGAUGGUUUUAUGAGGAGAAACCCUUUUCACUUGGUCGUCAUUCUGUCUUGCCUGCUGUCAUAUAAGAUGUGCCUUUUGCCUUCUGCCAUGAUUGUGAGGCAUCCCUAACCACAUGGAACUCUGAGUCCAUUAAACUUCUUUUUCUUUAUAAAUUACCCAGUUUUGGAUAUGUCUUUAUCAGCAGUGUGAAAAUGGACUAAUACAAUGGGUAAUUGUGAAACCUGAUUCUCAGAGUCAGGAGAAGUUUUCCCAUUGAAACAGAGCAGAAUGCCCAGGAUACACCUAGAAUGGUGUCAGCACAACAUAUGAGACAUAUGGAGAAUGCAGUUGACCCAUGAGCCUGCAUAUAUGGUGUCAUACUGGAAUACUCCCUGAGAAGCGUUGUGUAAACCACAUAGGACUAAAGGCCCCUCAUUUGCAGACUCUGCUGGGGUUCUUUGUAUAGGAGGACUUUAUGGAAAAUAAUAGAGGGGCUUGACUUUACUGUGUAUGCCUUGGUUAAAGUAAUGUCCCUCAAAAGCCCCUUUGGUACUCAGAGACAUGGUUCACCCCUCAAAGUCAUAGAAGGAUCAGUGAUGGGAGCUUGGAGUGAAUGGUAACAAUAGAUGAUAGCAUCAAGUCAAUUAUUCAGAAAAACUGACACUAGUGGCUUAAGUACUCAAGCAUUUAUAAUCUCACUUGAGAACUAUGAGGUAGGUAUUUUGAGGUUGAUUUAUCAGCUCUAAUGUCUCGUCAAGUAUCCAGGGUCAUUCUUCAUUUCUGCCUCUCUCUACUUAGCUUUUGACUGUUGCCUUCAAACUUACUGCUUCUUGGUCACAAGGUGGCUACCCCAGCUCCAGGCAUUGCAUCUGAAUUCAAAGAAGAUACAGUGUAUGUAUUUGUAGGUGGGGUGGGAUGAGGUGAAAGCGCUUCUAUGUAUGACUUCAUGCCUGUUCCUUUUACAGGAAACCAAAAAGUUUCCCAGAAGACUUCCAGAUGACUUCUCUUUACCUCUCAUUAGUCAGAACAAGAUCAAAUGGGGAUCCCUAGGCAUAAGGGAGGCUGGGAAAGUGAGCAUCUUGGUGGAGAGGAAGAUGAUGGUCUUAACCAUAUCAGAUAUAUUUUAAUUCAUAGUCUUGGAGCAGGAGGAAGAUAUUAUUGUUAUCCCUACUGUGUGGAUGAAAAGACUGAAGUUGAAAGAG
rnacentral:lncRNA from 1 species